GGCAGAGCCGGGCCCCGCGUGCGCUCGUUCGGUCCUUCCGGGCCCGGGGACCAGGCCUCCCAGGCUGGGCUGCCGGCAGCCGGCGCAGCACAGGCCCCCCGCAGCCUGCCGGCUGGGGCCUGGGAGCCGGCAGUCACCGCAAGCAGGUUAUGGAGCAGCUCAGGGCAGCCCAGCAGCCUGUAAAGGUCAAAUAGUCUGGAAGAUGUUAUCCACCUCACAGAAUUCAUCCACCUCAGCCCAGAGCAGACCAGCACGAGGCUGCCCUUGGGUACACCCGACUUCCGGGACUUCUAAGGACACCAGGAAAGCAGCUUGCAUGGCCAAACGUUCAGCACCUCCUGCCGGCCGACAAUCCUCAGCCUUGUCAGCAAGGAGUGGGGGAGCAGAAAUAACCACACUUCUGUAACUGUGUGCUCUCUUCUUUGCGUUACUAACCACUCUUCCAUGGAGGCAGUCCUGUACAGGAGAGAAUUGAGCUUGCAGUGAGUGAAACAUCUGUUUGCCAAACUCAGGACCACGAGCAGUAACCAUCAACCUGACUGUUUUAUGCUCCCAAAGAAGCAAGAGAAUUGGUUGUCAAGUCACCACCACAGGCCUUGAAAAUUCAUCCUAUGAACUCCUGGUUACUGUUGUUAUUGAAAAAGAGUCCAACCUGAGGGGAAGUAAACCCUGAUAUUUAAUAUUAUUUUAUAUUAUUUCAGUAAAUGGAAUCACAGAAAUAUUCAGGUUGGAAGGGACCUCUGGGGGUUAUCUGGUUUAGUAUCCUGCUCAAAGCAAGGCUAUUAUUAAAUUCAGGGUGCUUAAGGCAUUGUCCACUUGGGUCUUGAAAGCUUCUGUGGAGGGAGAUUCCACAGCCUCUCAACCUGAUGGUCCUCAGGGUGGACAGUGCUUUUUUUUUCCUUCUAUCCACUCUGAAUCUUCCUUCUUUCAAAUUAAUGAUCACCGUCUCUCCUCCCACUGUGCACUUUUUUGGUAGAAAUCCUGGCUCUGUCUUCUCAGUAGCUUCCUUGUUGGUACUGGUGGGCUGCCUCUUUUCCCAGUGCAAGAAGACCCAGUGCCCACAGCCUCUCUCAUGUGGCAAGUGCUCCAGCCCGUCACCAGCUUGAUGCUCUUGGCUGAACUCACUCCAGUUUGUCACCAAUUUCGUAUCAGUAUUGUUCUACUGGAGACCCCCAAACUGAGCAUUGUAUUCCUUUCCACCAGAGACAGGAAGUAAGCCCCCAUCCAGUAUUGUCCCACAGGGCUGGUCACUCCCAAAUGAAGGACCCUACAUUUUUCCUCAUGGAACUUUGUGAAGUUCCUGAUGGCCCGCUCCUCCAGCCUGUCAAGGUUCCUCUCAAGCACAUCAACUUAACAUCAUGUCUUUGGUGUCACAUGCACGUACUCAGAACCAGUUUAAAAAAAAAUGAUGGUCAGGUUCUGCCUUAUUUAUAUCAAAUAAUAAAAAACAGUAUAAUUAAGUUA